CAAGACCAAGCCCCACCAAGAAGCUGGAGGGCCAGGCAAGUCCAGGAUGGGCAAGCAGGGAAGCACGAGAGGGAGAAACAGAGCACCACUACCUAAGGAAACCUGGAGAAAGUCGAAGAUAUGGUCCCUGGCAUUCAGAUGCUUAGUUUCUGUUGGGGAGAAAAGACUACACGGGCAAGCUCCUUAUCAGUGUAAUUGUGGGGACUGGUCACCAGCUCUUGCUUGAGCUUUUCCAGAAGAAACUUCACUACUGAAAUAUUCCAAGAGGACUUGAUGCUGCCACAAAGAGAAGAGAAUGAAUAAAGUUGUCGGCUUUGUAAGAGCCAGACAAACAGAGAUACCCAGCACUAAUCAACUUUGUGGCAAAUCCCUCCACAGCCUAAGAAGGAUCCCUAGCAGCAAUCCUCAAGAGCCUCAGCAGAUUGGAGAGAUGCCUCUUUGAUUCCGUCCCAGAGCUAAAGAUUGGAACAACUGUCCCUCCCCCUCUAAACCCACAGUCUGCCACAAGAACAUUUUAAACCUUCCUCCAUGAUGGGCAGCAAAACUCCCUGACUAGUCCUCCAGAUCCUUCUCAAGCACAGAAUAGAGAGAGCAUGAUGGUGAGUGAGCAUACUGUCCUUCCUGCAGGUCUUCAGUUCCACCACACUCUCCUAAGGGAAGGAAGAAGCCAGGCCUCAAUGCUGUACCUCUCUCUGGAGGCAGCAGGCACAAGUGGAAUGGAAG
rnacentral:lncRNA from 1 species